GGAACCUGGGCCGCCCUCUCCGGCUUCAGUCAGCAUGGGGACCGACGCCGCCUCCUCGUGCUUCCACUUGAGCCUCCUGUACUCGCCCUGCAGCACCCUGAGGACCCGCAGAGGCCAGAUGGAGGAGAAAAACAGUCAGGCGGGCCAGGGUGCAUUGGAGCUGCUCCUUGUCCUGGUGCUCCAGGUGGGCCAGCAGCAUGUGCUGUCCGCAGGGUGAGUCAUGGUCCAGGGCUGGGCUGGAGUGACGCAGGAGGUACUGAUCUUCAUCCCUGAGUCCCCCACACAGGAGACAGCACACUGAGCCACCAGCACACAGCCACCAGCAGCACAAAGCAGAGCCAAGGACGGCAUGGGACAGCAGACAGGCCAAGGGGACGGGACGCAAUCAAGCAAGACUGGACAGAACGGGACGGGACACUGUGACGAAGGCACUGCGCCAGGUUCACGGGCCAAAUAUUAAGUGUUCUGUAAUAAACUGGGCUUAACACACCAUUAAAAAAACACACUUAGAUGUAUUAAAAAUGGAAGGUGGAUCCUCAUAGAUAAACAAUAAUAAACACUUUACUGACAAUGAAAGAGAAAAUUUUAUGUGCAGAUCUGUGAGAGCAGACCUGCGGCUGCAAACACAUUUAAUGCGUCUGUGAAUGUUUGGCAAUUAUUUUAACGGAAAGACAGCUGUUUGUCUAUUUAUAUGUUGCCGUAAUGCUUUGGGCUGUGAACCAAACUCCUUUACUGAGCCAAGUUAAAAGCGAGUUAUAGCUUUGCAUUGUAAUGCCAGAUUAUACAUCACAGAGGUAUUAGUGAGCCAGACUUAGUCAAGCAGACUGGUUUUGUUUAAAAAUGGACAGAAUCACAUCUUAUUACUGUCAGAUCUGUUAAUCAGAAUGCUUAGAUGCAUCAGUGGGUUGCCAAUAAACCGGAUAUUACAGGUAUUCCUAAAAAA